rnacentral:rRNA from 1 species
CCCUUAGAUGUUCUGGGCCGCACGCGCGCUACACUGACUACUUCAACGAGUUGUUUCCUUGAUCGAAAGGUCUGGGUAAUCUUUGAAAGGUAGUCGUGAUGGGGAUAGAUCCUUGCAAUUUUUGAUCUUCAACGAGGAAUUCCUAGUAAACGCAAGUCAUCAGCUUGCAUUGAUUACGUCCCUGCCCUUUGUACACACCGCCCGUCGCACCUACCGAUUGAAUGGUCCGGUGAAUCUUUAGGACUGUGGCUGAGGCCUUGCCUUGUGCGGGUCUGGCCGUGGGAAUUUAGUUAAACCUUACCAUUUAGAGGAAGGUGAAGUCGCAACA